CAGUCGCCGCGGGAAUACGAAGGGGGCUAGCGUUGCUCGGAAUUACUGGGCGUAAAGGGCGCGUAGGCGGACAGUUCAGUCGGGGGUGAAAGCCCGGGACUCAACCUCGGAAUUGCCUUCGAUACUGGCUGUCUUGAGUAUGAGAGAGGUGUGUGGAACUCCGAGUGUAGAGGUGAAAUUCGCAGAUAUUCGGAAGAACACCAAUGGCGAAGGCGACACACUGGCUCAUUACUGACGCUGAGGCGCGAAAGCGUGGGGAGCAAACAGGAUUAGAUACCCGCGUAGUCCCUGUCUCUUAUAC
rnacentral:rRNA from 1 species